GACCUCCACACCCCAGUGAACACACACGCAUUGCGGCUUCGUGAUUGGCCGCUACAGUAAGGUGUAUUUUAAUGGCCCUGCCAACUGCUACAACUGUUGCUAAAGCUAAUUUAGCAUUUUAUAAUCAAGUUCAUCUGCAAACAGCGGCAUCUGGACGACUUUAUGGAGUGACUAACUUGGUUUUGCGGCACUCAUGGGGGCUGUAGCGACUCCUUUCGGCGGCAGUUAAUAGCCGUUGGCACUUUAACCUGAAAGUAGUUUACCUGUCCUUCUGUGGGAGCUUUGGACCACAACAAGAUGCACCGGAGACUAUCAGAGCUUCACUUCAUACAGAACGCUGUUGAAAGUUGCUGGGGCAUUGCUGAACUCUAUUUCCCUCCUGCUACGGCAGAAGUUUAGAGGCUCUCAUUAAUAAGAGAGGACUGUAAGGAAACCAGCAUGAAGAGCAGGGCGGCCUCCCUCUGAUUCCCACUGCCUAAUCUGAGAGAUAAAGGUCACUGCUGAGCCACAGCCAGCCCAGCUCAGGGGGAGAGGGGUCGUCCACUUAUCAGAAGAUGUCAAGGUGUUUACCAAAGAGAAGGAGAGGAGAGUCGAGUGGCACCGCUGUUUGUUUGGA